AUUGAACGCUGGCGGCAGGCCUAACACAUGCAAGUCGAGCGCGCGGCGGACGGGUGAGUAAUGUCUGGGAAACUGCCUGAUGGAGGGGGAUAACUACUGGAAACGGUAGCUAAUACCGCAUACCAUGAGAUGUGCCCAGAUGGGAUGAGCUAGUAGGUGGGGUAACGGCUCACCUAGGCGACGAUCCCUAGCUGGUCUGAGAGGAUGAGCAGCCACACUGGAACUGAGACACGGCCCAGACUCCUACGGGAGGCAGCAGUGGGGAAUCUUGGGCAAUGGGCGAAAGUCUGAUCGAGCCAUGCCGCGUGAGUGAAGAAGGCCUUCGGGUUGUAAAGCACUGUCAGUGGGGAGGCGGUAUUCGAAGAAGAAGCACCGGCUAACUCCGUGCCAGCAGCCGCGGUAAUAC
rnacentral:rRNA from 1 species